UCUGACCUGUUAGUAGCAUGGUGGGCCACAGCACUGUGCUGUGCUGUGAGCCUGGUCUGUCUCCAUCUAAGUUUCUUUAAUGAGAAAACAAAUAAAAUAUUCAAAAAAGAAAUUUUUUUUUUUUUUUUUUGAGACAGAGUCUCGCUCUGUCGCCCAGGCUGGAGUGCAGUGGCGCGAUCUCGGCUCACUGCAAGCUCCGCCUCCCGCGUUCACGUCGUUCUCCACCUCAGCCUCCCGAGUAGCUGGGACUACAUGCGCCCGCCAUCACACCAGGCUAAUUUUUUGUAUUUUUAGUAGAGACGGGGUUUCACCGUGUUAGCCAGGAUGGUCUCGAUCUCCUGACCUCGUGAUCCACCCGCCUCAGCCUCCCAAAGUGCUGGGAUUACAGGCGUGAGCUACUGCGCCCGGCCUAAAAUAUAUAUUAUGUGUAUAUACAUAGAUUUUUAAUUUAAUAAUAUUCCAUUGCUUAGAUGUACCACAGUUCAUUCAUCAGUUGAAAGGCCUUUGAGAUGCUCCCUCUUUGGGCAAUUAUGAAUAAUGUCACAAUCAACAUUUGCAUGCAGAUUUUGUGUGAACAUAAGAGUAAUUUCUCUUGGACUGGCAUGCCUGCUUUGUAUGGACAACUUUGUGUAGAAUUGAUAGUAUUAUUCCUUAAAUAUUUUGCAAAUUCAAGAAUGAAGUUAUCCAGAUUUUGAGUUACAAGACUUGUGAAAAGCAUGAAAUUUUACCCUACUUGCAGGAUUGGUGAAGUGCUAAUAUUUAUUCCACUCCUGUCUUCUGAGCUCUAACCAAAUUGAGAACAACUACAAAAAAUGAGUAAUGUCAAGUAAGUCACCAGCAGAGAUCACAUUCAAGGGGAUUGGAUUACACAGGUGUGUGAAUACCAGGAAGAAUCAUUCAUUACAAACAACCAAAGUAACAGACAACACACACUCUGUGUGAGUGUGUAUAUGUAUGUGUGAGCUCUAUCAUUUGUUUAAAAAUAUUAUCUAAAUUCCUUCACAAUUUCUUCUCUGUUAUUUUUAACUGUAUUAUCUUUUACUUUUUAAAAGGGCUCCUCAACGAUUAUAAAAUAUUUGAUUUAGUAGAGUCUAAAUUAAUGCUCUCAAAACCUCCAAAAAAAUGCAUUUAUCUGUUAACUCCAAUUCUAAGUGAAAACCUAAGGUGUUUAUCUUUACUUACCAUUGUUCCCUUUUAGCCUUUUCGUUAAUGUUUUUAUGCAUUUU
rnacentral:lncRNA from 1 species